rnacentral:rRNA from 1 species
AUUGAACGCUGGCGGCAUGCCUUACACAUGCAAGUCGAACGGUAACAGGUCUUCGGAUGCUGACGAGUGGCGAACGGGUGAGUAAUACAUCGGAACGUGCCCGAGAGUGGGGGAUAACGAGGCGAAAGCUUUGCUAAUACCGCAUACGAUCUCAGGAUGAAAGCAGGGGACCGCAAGGCCUUGCGCUCACGGAGCGGCUGAUGGCAGAUUAGGUAGUUGGUGGGAUAAAAGCUUACCAAGCCGACGAUCUGUAGCUGGUCUGAGAGGACGACCAGCCACACUGGGACUGAGACCCGGCCCAGACUCCUACGGGAGGCAGCAGUGGGGAAUUUUGGACAAUGGGCGCAAGCCUGAUCCAGCCAUGCCGCGUGCAGGAUGAAGGCCUUCGGGUUGUAAACUGCUUUUGUACGGAACGAAAAGACUCUGGUUAAUACCUGGGGUCCAUGACGGUACCGUAAGAAUAAGCACCGGCUAACUACGUGCCAGCAGCCGCCGUAACAC